GUUUAGCCCCGAUAAUAGCGGCAUCCUUUUACUUUUUUCUUUAAAAAGUAAAAGAUAUAGCGGAUAGCGGGAAAUAGC
rnacentral:sRNA from 1 species